rnacentral:rRNA from 1 species
GACGAACCGUGCAAACGUUGUUCGGAAUCACUGGGCUUAAAGGGCGCGUAGGCGGGCCAGCCAGUCUGUGGUGAAAGCCCCCGGCUUAACCGGGGAAGUGCCGUGGAUACUGCUGGCCUCGAGGAGGAUAGGGGCAUCUGGAACGGUCGGUGGAGCGGUGAAAUGCGUUGAUAUCGAUAGGAACUCCGGUGGCGAAGGCGGCAUACUGGACCACCACUGACGCUGAUGCGCGAAAGCCAGGGGAGCGAACGGG